rnacentral:rRNA from 1 species
UACGUAGGGGGCAAGCGUUGUCCGGAUUUAUUGGGCGUAAAGAGCGUGUAGGCGGCCGCACAGGUCCGUUGUGAAAACUGGAGGCUUAACCUUCAGACGUCGAUGGAAACCGUGCGGCUAGAGUCCGGAAGAGGAGAGUGGAAUUCCUGGUGUAGCGGUGAAAUGCGCAGAUAUCAGGAGGAACACCGGUAGCGAAGGCGGGUCUCUGGGCCGAAACUGACGCUGAGGAGCGAAAGCGUGGGGAGCAAACAGG